rnacentral:lncRNA from 10 species
CAUGGAUCCAACCCUGGUGACUAAUGACAAUGUCCCUCCUGGAGUUCAUAGGAGAGAUGACACCAGGUCAGUGGGUUCUGAGGCAUCCUUGGCUGUAUCUUUGCCGGGGAGGAAGGAGCACUUCCCAAGGCCAGUGGCCCAGGUGUGGCUACUCGUGGGGCCUCCACACUGCUCUGUCUGGUCCACAACACAGCUGCUCCAACAUCCUUGAGCUCCAAUUGUAUCUCUAUGGGUCUACACUUCAGCUGCAUCUCCAUGCAAGAGUCCUCUGCGGCACCAUCAUCAGCCUUCUCCAGGCAAAUGUCUAUUUUUACUGAGGUGCAAAACAGCCCAGCCAAAGACAACCUGGAAGUGUUCAAUGCCUUCUGCUACAUUGAAAGCACACACAGUAACCUUUCUGACCAUAUCAAAGCUUUUCCUGAUGUGAAUUGUGUGUAAAAACUGUGGAUUAUGGUCUUAAGCUAUGCAUAAGGCCAAAGCCCCGGAGCCCCUUUGAAAUGAUCAAGGAAAGACAGAGAGACUUGGAGAACAACUCCCAGGACAGGUCCCCUUUGCCUGGUCGCUCCUCCUUGGAGGAAGUGGUGAGUUCUCUGUGGAGCCGCAUUCCACAUCACGUUUUCUCCUUGGGCUUCUAAAAUGAGAACUCUUUAAUGGGUCUUGACGGUUUUCA